UUAGGCGCGGUUUCCCUUUUGGGGCUGUUGGGGACUUGGGGCUGACUCGGUGAACUAUGGUUUGGAAAGAGAGAAGUAGCGACUGUUGCGGAAGCAGAGGACUGCCUUUUGUUAGAAAGAUGGCAUGCAGUGAUCCAAGGGGAGGUGUUUGGAUCAUCUGGAAGGGCACAGCAACAGAAGGAAAGUAUGCCCCAGUCUUUUCAUUACCUCCGCGUCUCUGCCCUGGUACUCGUACUAACAUAUAAAGCUGUAAACCGGGAUGAGAUGACAGGAAAGCAGGAAAGGAAAAGGGAGUCUGGCAACGUAUCAAUGGUGAAAUGCUAUCAAAGAUCAGAUCUUGAUGUGCUGUAAUCACUAGGCAGCAGCUUUAUAAAAUUGCAUUUCUAAGAUUCUCGAAGCGUUGUCAAUGUUGCUUGUGUUCCUGGUUGAAACUUUGUAUCGGUCUAGCUUUGUGUGUAAAGUCUGUAUAGCUUUGAUUGAAUCUCUGAAAGCUCAGGAUGCGAAGACUAUACAACUUGUAUAAACUUGGGAUAGUGCUGUUUAUCUUGCUAUGCGAAGGCAACGGCGUAACAAAGCUACAUGGGCUGAGGUCUGUCAAUGUGGCUCUUGCUCAAAUUGAGGGACUUAAAUUUUGUGCAACAUCUAAGAGGACUAUCGUACGAGAUUAACUCAUCGAUGAAUAGGUUAGGCUCAAUGUAACAUUGUAUGGUGCUGGUAAUUUUCAACUGCCAAGACAAUUUUGAGCUGAUGAAAUCAUGGUAAAUGCAGUCCUGGAUUUUUGA